rnacentral:rRNA from 1 species
GACGAACGCUGGCGGCGUGCUUAACACAUGCAAGUCGAACGGAAAGGCCCUGCUUUUGUGGGGUGCUCGAGUGGCGAACGGGUGAGUAACACGUGAGUAACCUGCCCUUGACUUUGGGAUAACUUCAGGAAACUGGGGCUAAUACCGGAUAGGAGCUCCUGCUGCAUGGUGGGGGUUGGAAAGUUUCGGCGGUUGGGGAUGGACUCGCGGCUUAUCAGCUUGUUGGUGGGGUAGUGGCUUACCAAGGCUUUGACGGGUAGCCGGCCUGAGAGGGUGACCGGCCACAUUGGGACUGAGAUACGGCCCAGACUCCUACGGGAGGCAGCAGCGGGGAAUAUUGCACAAUGGGCGGAAGCCUGAUGCAGCAACGCCGCGUGCGGGAUGACGGCCUUCGGGUUGUAAACCGCUUUCGCCUGUGACGAAGCGUGAGUGACGGUAAUGGGUAAAGAAGCACCGGCUAACUACGU